GACUCCACCACGUUUACCCCGUUUUUUGGCACGCUUCCUCCGGAGGACAGGUGAGCGCAGCAGGAAGUCAGGUACUGACGCCAAGUGAGGAGGAAGUCUGGAUGUUUGAUCCUCGGAGUUGAAGCCCAGACAUACAUCAUGUGAACGAUUAAGAAGAAUAAGUACCUGACGGUCGUCAACUAUCAGCGCAGUGUUGUUUUGGCACAGAAGACCGAUCAGUGCGACUACAAACAAAAGUUCCAGCAGACGGCAGCCGGUACAUGCUGGCGCCAUCUUGUGAUGUGACCUCACUUCCUCUCUCUGUUUCAAAGGAAAACGUGGUAUAAUUGUGAUGCCAGCAGUCAAAAUCCUGUAAAGACAAAAGAUCAGUGCUUUAAGACAAAAUGACCACGGACAGACCGAAAAGGAACAUCAUAAAAAAAAGUUAUGACAUCAGUGAUGGAAUGCCUUGGUAUGAAGAACGUCUGGUCCGUAAAGUGCUUUUUAUCUCACUCAGGGAAUUCAGAGACAAACACAGUGCUACACAAAAGCGCUCACACAUACAUAAAGCAAUGCGCAAAUGUGCUUCCAAAAAUACACUUAUCCAAACUCGACUGAAGACGCAAAGUCAGUCUCAAAAGCAUCUACAGAAAAACACAUGCACGAGAAAGAUUGUGCAGACUAAGCUCAGACUGCAGCGCACAAAACUCAAACAACAAAAAACACACAGACAAGAAGACACGCACGCCAAGAAUAACACGUGUAUUUCAAAACAUCCAAACCUUAGAUAUCGCACAAGCCGAGGCCAAAAACCACAGCAGUCCCAGAGCUCACGCUCACCCAGAUACACAUGGCCACGCUUAUCCUUAGGGAAGGUUCCUCCCACUGUGAAACACCAGCAUCAGCAGGGACAGGCCUGUGCAAAGGCUUCAUCAACCAGGACACUCCGUUCACAUAACACACAAAACACAGUGCGACUGCUAAAUACUGACACAACCACACACUCACACACAGACCCACACAGACAUUCUGUAAGAAACACACACAGAAGUGGACACACACGCACCCUGCUGAGAGCUUCUGUCCUCGCCAGAUCUGUGAGGUCACGACCGCCCGCAGCUGUCAGAGGUUCUGGCAUCCCCCAGUGUAAGUCACUGCGAGCCUCAGAAAGCUGGAGCUGGUCGUUGCAAACACAGCCCUCACAGCCCAGGCUGAGCAGCUUUCGCUGUAACAAGGAACAAUGUUCUAACCAAAGACCACGCCUUCAAGCGCAGCGGAAGUUUGCGCAGUCCCCUCCCUUCUCAGGACCUUCAGUGCUGAUGUCAUCAUCACAACGUAACCAUACUCAUGACCUGGCUGUUGUCACAUGUUUGAACAAACAAAGACCCAAGACUGAGGACUUCCUGUCUUUCCUCUGUUUGAGAGCAGAUGACGGUAUGGACAUUUCUGUCUUCAGGAGAACAACAGGUUUCAGCUCUAUGAGGAUGAGGUCUGGAAGUUCUGCAGUGGUAACUUCCUGUCCUGCAAAUCAAAGAGGAAAGAGAAACCGAGUAGAGACACACGCUGAAAGAGGGAGAGCUAGACGAGACGAGGACAAAAGAACAACAGAGUGUAAUCGUCUGAGACCUCGGCCAUUCACUCUGAAGUCCUGGACAACUGACAAGAUUGCAGUGGUGAAACCAACAGUACUCCACAGAUCAGUAACUACCUUAAAGCAAGAAACUGCUCAUCGUAACAAACAGCCUGUCAGAACCUGUACAAAGACUAGAAAAACCUACAAAGUAAAGCACCGGUCCCAAAGAAGGACAGAGGACAUGAGCGUCACACACCCGUCCUUACCUCGCAACGACAAGCGACCUCAGAACCAACACACAAACCCUACCGCUGACUGCAUCACCCGUUACUCCAGGAAUAAUAAUCUCCAGUUAUCAGCCAGAAACCUUCCCAAGACUGCAGCUCAAACACCUGUGACCAGUGGCACCACAAUAAGGCAGCAAAAGGACAAAGCAGGUUUACUGAGGUUGUCCAGAAGGAGAAGAGGCCUCCCUCCUGACGUGAUCCCCAGCUGUCUCACUCAGUCCCGUUUGGACAACCGCUGCUCAAAAAAAAGCAAGACAUUGCAGAACAAAGAAGAAAAAGGUACUCACUACCACAGUGAGAAAACACAGGAGGACACAUUUCAUCUGAAUCCACCCAGAGACACUCAGAGUCGGGACAGAGAUGGUCCUGUUGGAGAGGUGAUGUUACAGUUUGGCUGCAUUAGUGAAGAACUACAGGAAAACAUGAAGUUAGAAAAUAUAAUUAAAAGCACAACAGCCUCCCCGGAGUCUCGUCAAGAACAAGAUACCUCAGCUAAGGACCUUACACCAGUCCGAAAAGUCAGACACAAACCUGUGGUAGAGAAAAGGCAAAAACAGUUACGACUCAGCUCAGUUACACAAACUGUUAACAGGAGAAAUACUAGCAGGGGUGCUACAAGGGCAAGCAAAACUAAAGCUUUUACCAAAUUAAUGAUCUCCAAGCACAUCAACACCUGCUCAGUAACCGCUUACUCACACUCAGCAAAGCAUACCUCUGCACUGACAUACAGGUCCAUUACCAACAGUUCAUCACCAACAAGUAGCCAUGCUUUCCUUAAUCAUAAAGGUGCUAUAAAAAAGUCUUCUAAGGACAGCACAGAGGAGCUGAAUAAGGACUGUGGACCUACCACCACAUUUAUAAACUCUUACAGAAGUUCUUUAAGAUGUCAUUCCCAGUCCAAGGCUCCUGCCUCAAGAAGUGGGACAAGAUGUAGCCCAAGACUGCUUCCAAAGCACUAACGCAGAAGAUUAAGCCAGUCCUAAAACACAAGCUCAAUAUAAUUUAAGUUAGGCUUGGUCUUAUUGCAGGGGAUUAUUUAUGGAACAGCAUAGCAAAAGGUAUGGUCAUAUAAGACAAAGCUGAAAAUGAUGCAACAUCUGUAAUUAUUCCUUGUUCAAAAUAAGAACACAUUAUGUUAAACAUGACAUAUUUAUUCAUGACAAUUGUUUUUAAACAAAACAGUGAAAAAACUUGCACUUGUUACUACCUACUUAUAUUUUGUAUUUUAGUGGUAAAAACAACAUUUUUACAAUUGUCCUUUGUGCCAAAAGAUGGUAGUUACAUUAUAAUAUAAUGAGGAAAAAAUAUAAUAAUAUGAGGAAAAAAUUAAAGUUUGGAAAUGGUUAAUUUCAGUGAAGAAUUCUACUUUAAGAUUGUUGAGUGCCUCUUACCGCUGUUCAUUUACAAGCAUUCCUGCAGUCUGCUGCAAACACACAAGAUGGCAGCGCUAGUCACGCCUUUCCAACGGCGAUGAGGCUUUUACAUAUAUGGUGUCUACGGUUUGAUCAAGGAUGCAAAUCCUGUUAUUCUAUCUACCGAUAGUAAUUAUAUCGCCAGAACAACCGAUGUCCGAUACCUAAUUUUAAAGCCAAUAUCAGCUGAUACCGAUUACAUGCCGAUAAUAUUGUGCAUCACUAGUCAAAGGUCUUAAUCCUGACACAACAGCCAAACGAAAGAAGCAAUGUGACAUACUGUGGAUGUUGUAAGAUUUAUGUAACAUUUUUACAGCCAAUGACAUCACAGUAAGAAAUCUUUCCUUUGAGAUAUGGACCUUGUCUUGUUCCCAAUGUGAGCUUGUUUAGGCACCAGUAGACAAUCAGCAGCAACCUCUCCGAAGGAGGAAUAGAACAUCAAUCAAUGAAUGAAACACCCAGUGCUGCCAUUACUACAGAACUGGCCAAAGUUUGGCCCAGUUACACCCUUACACUGGUCGUAUACUGGUAAGAGUUUCACCAGUCAGUGGACAUACAUACUGUACAUGUGACAAGUGGCCAAAAUACAAUAUUAAACAUAUACCCGAUUUAAGCUGUACUACUUAAUAAUACACUGUGUGCUAAAUGAUUCACACGAGUUAAACAUCCUGAAGCUGUCAUUGGUCAGAGGAGCAGCUUUGGCGAUGUUUUAAUAUGAUUGGAAGUAUUGAGGACAUCCAGAUUCUUUCCAUUAGAUUUCUUUUUAGCUGGAAAAGCUUUUGAAUUAGACUUGUAUAUAAUUGUUAGGGCUACCUAUUAUAGGCCUUGUAUUUUUGUAUGUCAUUGUUUGUAUCUGUAGAUAUGUUGGUGAUGUUAACAAUGAUCAGGAUGCCCUCAGGCACAGUCUGCUACAUGGACUUGUUCUACUCAUGUGUUUUCAAAGCUGAUGAACUGAACUGACAGGCACAAGCAUCAUCCAAUUAAAAAAAAAAGUUAAGCAUCUUCCACACCCUAAUAACCAUAACCACACUGACUGCAUGGUUUUUGAUGCAGCCAAAGCAAUGCUCUCUGGGUAAGCCUACGCAUUCCUUUUGAAAAAAAACAACCUUGUUUUGUGUUGUAGAGGUUACACAAUAAAACUGUUUCCCAACCUUGUCA
rnacentral:lncRNA from 1 species